CGAGCGAACUUAACUAAAUGAAUGCGGUGCUUGCACCAAGUGAUUUUCCAUCUGGUGAGCGGCGGAUGGGUGAGUAACACGUGGGUAACCUGCCUCUAAGCAGGGGAUAACAUUUGGAAACAGAUGCUAAUACCGUAUAAAUCCUAAAACCACAUGGUUUUAGGCUGAAAGGCGGCUUCGGCUGUCACUUAGAGAUGGACCCGCGGCGUAUUAGCUAGUUGGUGAGGUAAUGGCUCACCAAGGCAAUGAUACGUAGCCGAACUGAGAGGUUGAUCGGCCACAUUGGGACUGAGACACGGCCCAAACUCCUACGGGAGGCAGCAGUAGGGAAUCUUCCACAAUGGACGCAAGUCUGAUGGAGCAACGCCGCGUGAGUGAAGAAGGCUUUCGGGUCGUAAAACUCUGUUGUUGAAGAAGAACACGUUUGAGAGUAACCGUUCAGACGUUGACGGUAUUCAACCAGAAAGCCACGGCUAACUACGUGCCAGCAGCCGCGGUAAUACGUAGGUGGCAAGCGUUAUCCGGAUUUAUUGGGCGUAAAGCGAGCGCAGGCGGUUUUUUAAGUCUAAUGUGAAAGCCCUCGGCUUAACCGAGGAAGUGCAUCGGAAACUGGGAAACUUGAAUGCUGAAGAGGACAGUGGAACUCCAUGUGUAGCGGUGAAAUGCGUAGAUAUAUGGAAGAACACCAGUGGCGAAGGCGGCUGUCUGGUCAGUUAUUGACGCUGAGGCUCGAAAGCAUGGGUAGCGAACAGGAUUAGAUACCCUGGUAGUCCAUGCCGUAAACGAUGAAUACUAGGUGUUGGAGGGUUUC
rnacentral:rRNA from 1 species